AUUGAACGCUGGCGGCAGGCCUAACACAUGCAAGUCGAGCGAGCGGCGGACGGGUGAGUAAUGUAUGGGGAUCUGCCCGAUGGAGGGGGAUAACUACUGGAAACGGUGGCUAAUACCGCAUACCAUCGGAUGAGCCCAGAUGGGAUUAGCUAGUAGGUGGGGUAAAGGCUCACCUAGGCGACGAUCUCUAGCUGGUCUGAGAGGAUGACCAGCCACACUGGGACUGAGACACGGCCCAGACUCCUACGGGAGGCAGCAGUGGGGAAUAUUGCACAAUGGGCGCAAGCCUGAUGCAGCCAUGCCGCGUGUAUGAAGAAGGCCUUAGGGUUGUAAAGUACUUUCAGCGGGGAGGCGUUACCCGCAGAAGAAGCACCGGCUAACUCCGUGCCAGCCGCCGCGGUAAUUC
rnacentral:rRNA from 1 species